GGGUUUUGAAGGUUUUCGAUCCUCUAGAGGGUUUCAGAGAUUUACAUGAGUAAAGUAUGAAUAGAAAAAAGUAAAGAAAAAACAGUAGUCUCAGCCUGCUAUGAAGUUUCUGUUAUAAUGUCCUAACUUUUUAGUUUGCAAUUUUAUAGAAUUCCUGGAGAAGACUGCUCAGUUCAUACAAACUAAACUUUUUGGGACUGGUCACUGCCCACUUGCUGGGUUUUCAAUGAGCAAGACAAGUUUUCCUCAACAGCUGCCUCCUGUUCCUCGUCAUGUGAUUGUGAAACAGCUGGCUGCACGUACGACAACAUCCAAUAACCAAACAGCAGGCUGCACAUAAGACAACAUCCAAUAAGUUGCUGGCACCUCUAGUGCUCCUGACUUGCUUUGUUCAU
rnacentral:lncRNA from 1 species